rnacentral:rRNA from 2 species
AAAUGACGAACGCUGGCGGCGUGCCUAAUACAUGCAAGUCGAACGAACUCUGGUAUUGAUUGGUGCUUGCAUCAUGAUUUACAUUUGAGUGAGUGGCGAACUGGUGAGUAACACGUGGGAAACCUGCCCAGAAGCGGGGGAUAACACCUGGAAACAGAUGCUAAUACCGCAUAACAACUUGGACCGCAUGGUCCGAGUUUGAAAGAUGGCUUCGGCUAUCACUUUUGGAUGGUCCCGCGGCGUAUUAGCUAGAUGGUGGGGUAACGGCUCACCAUGGCAAUGAUACGUAGCCGACCUGAGAGGGUAAUCGGCCACAUUGGGACUGAGACACGGCCCAAACUCCUACGGGAGGCAGCAGUAGGGAAUCUUCCACAAUGGACGAAAGUCUGAUGGAGCAACGCCGCGUGAGUGAAGAAGGGUUUCGGCUCGUAAAACUCUGUUGUUAAAGAAGAACAUAUCUGAGAGUAACUGUUCAGGUAUUGACGGUAUUUAACCAGAAAGCCACGGCUAACUACGUGCCAGCAGCCGCGGUAAUACGUAGGUGGCAAGCGUUGUCCGGAUUUAUUGGGCGUAAAGCGAGCGCAGGCGGUUUUUUAAGUCUGAUGUGAAAGCCUUCGGCUCAACCGAAGAAGUGCAUCGGAAACUGGGAAACUUGAGUGCAGAAGAGGACAGUGGAACUCCAUGUGUAGCGGUGAAAUGCGUAGAUAUAUGGAAGAACACCAGUGGCGAAGGCGGCUGUCUGGUCUGUAACUGACGCUGAGGCUCGAAAGUAUGGGUAGCAAACAGGAUUAGAUACCCUGGUAGUCCAUACCGUAAACGAUGAAUGCUAAGUGUUGGAGGGUUUCCGCCCUUCAGUGCUGCAGCUAACGCAUUAAGCAUUCCGCCUGGGGAGUACGGCCGCAAGGCUGAAACUCAAAGGAAUUGACGGGGGCCCGCACAAGCGGUGGAGCAUGUGGUUUAAUUCGAAGCUACGCGAAGAACCUUACCAGGUCUUGACAUACUAUGCAAAUCUAAGAGAUUAGACGUUCCCUUCGGGGACAUGGAUACAGGUGGUGCAUGGUUGUCGUCAGCUCGUGUCGUGGGAUGUUGGGUUAAGUCCCGCAACGAGCGCAACCCUUAUUAUCAGUUGCCAGCAUUAAGUUGGGCACUCUGGUGAGACUGCCGGUGACAAACCGGAGGAAGGUGGGGAUGACGUCAAAUCAUCAUGCCCCUUAUGACCUGGGCUACACACGUGCUACAAUGGAUGGUACAACGAGUUGCGAACUCGCGAGAGUAAGCUAAUCUCUUAAAGCCAUUCUCAGUUCGGAUUGUAGGCUGCAACUCGCCUACAUGAAGUCGGAAUCGCUAGUAAUCGCGGAUCAGCAUGCCGCGGUGAAUACGUUCCCGGGCCUUGUACACACCGCCCGUCACACCAUGAGAGUUUGUAACACCCAAAGUCGGUGGGGUAACCUUUUAGGAACCAGCCGCCUAAGGUGGGACAGAUGAUUAGGGUG